rnacentral:rRNA from 1 species
AUUGAACGCUGGCGGAAUGCUUUACGCAUGCAAGUCGAACGGCAGCACGGACCUCGGUCUGGUGGCGAGUGGCGAACGGGUGAGUAAUAUAUCGGAACGUAUCCAAUAAUGGGGAUAACUAAUCGAAAGGUUGGCUAAUACCGCAUACGUCCUACGGGAGAAAGCUAGGGACCUUCGGGCCUGGCGUUAAUGGAGCGGCCGAUAUCGGAUUAGCUAGUUGGUGAGGUAAGGGCUCACCAAGGCGACGAUCCGUAGCUGGUCUGAGAGGACGACCAGCCACACUGGAACUGAGACACGGUCCAGACUCCUACGGGAGGCAGCAGUGGGGAAUUUUGGACAAUGGGCGAAAGCCUGAUCCAGCCAUUCCGCGUGAGUGAAGAAGGCCUUCGGGUUGUAAAGCUCUCUCGCAAGAGAAGAAAACUUACCCUCUAACAUAGGGUGAGGUUGGCGGUAUCUUGAUAAGAAGCACCGGCUAACUACGUGCCAGCCGCCGCCGUAA